GAAACGUAACGACAACAAAUCCGAUUGGAAGUAGUGCACUUACCACAUUCAUGGGAUCAAAACUUUGUGUGGGAUAUCCAAUCUUGUAACUGCUUAUAACUGAAUCAUAACUAAAACUGUUUGAGAAGGUCUAGACAAACCGUAAAGAUCUAAGGAAUGACACUUAUAUAUACUGAAGCCCUGUUUAAAAAUGACGGGCAGCAUGUGAAGAGAAAGAUUGAAUGACUGUUUACCACUAAGGCACGCAUACAUAAUGAAGUCUGGCUUUGAAGGUCCUUAAAGGAUGAAAAUUGAAUGUUCAAAUAAAUUUAAAAACUAUCUGAUUUAUGAUUUUGCAAUAAAGAUCCGAACACGACUAUUUUAAAAAAUUUGAGACUUGUUUUCAUCCUUCUAAAAUCAUACGCCAUCUAUUGAUGUAACGCUCAUCGGGUUCUAUCAGAAUAAGAUUUUACAGUGCACUUUGAUAAGAUCUAUGCGAAAAAUUUUUUAGCAGGAAGAAAAGAUUUUAAUGGAUCGACAUGGUUAUGUAAUGAGUUUCCUGUUAAUAUAUCUAACUGCCUUAAAAAGGGUAUUAAUCUAAUAUUAAUGAUAAUGCUACAAAAAAUAUUAAA